AUAUAUAUAUAUAUAUAUAUAUAUAUGGAACACAAAGGAACUGAACUAAAGAAAGAGACAGGAGGUAAAGCAGCAGAAUGCUCCCUCCUUAGCAAGGCCCGUUUUUCACCGCUCAGUGGCGGGAACAAACUGAGGCCCUCUCGCUCCGUCCGCUCGGAUGGUCUUUCGGCCGCUGAGGUAGGAUCGGGGAGGCAAACGGCCGGUGACACGGAGGGACUCUGCACCCAAGCAAAGCUGCUCUGUUAAUCUCUCAACGUUGCCCGCUCUGCCGCUGAGCUGCGCGUUGAGCGCCUGGGGUUGAUAUACUCAGAAAACCAAUUUCUUACUGAGAGGUUUAAAACACACUAUAUGAUAAGAACUUAAUAAAAGGUUAUCUCUGGAAUUUCCUCUCUAGCCCCAACUGUUAUCUCUGAGACUUCCUCUGUAGCUCAACCGUUAUCAUCGGAAUCUCCUCAGCAAUUUCUAUUGUUAUUAUUUACCUACAAGUGAGAUAAUGUCAUCAUCAUGUAAUUACUUGCCUACGUGAUCUGUAAAGUAUAAAAGUCUGUUGUAAAUGAUGCUCGGGGUUCUGGAAUUUAGGCAAUGGCCGACCAGAACCUUUGCUUCUGCAGAGCAAAUAAUAAAGCCUUUUAAACUUCUCCGCUGGUGAUGUUCUUUGGCUCGCUGACCCAGUAAAAGAACCAUUUGGAUGGUAUAGCAAAUUGGUGCCGUGACUCGGAUCGGGGCCACGUUCCUUACACGAGCGUAGGCAACCCCCACUGGGUGGAGAGGCCCCCGGCGACGGAUAGACUAACCAGCCCAGCCGGCAGCUCACCUUUGUUGAGUAGUGGGCAAAGCUCUACCGUCGCGCCGGGACCUUCCACAACUAGGGGCCAGAAAUCGGAGAACUAAGGCAAAAGAGGGGUUAGAGUCCCCAGAAAGCGCGCUGAGAGGAAGGACGCUGGAUGCUCCAGAGCGGGUAAGUAGACUUAAACAAGAGGGGUUAGAGUCCCCUGGUGUGGGUUAGAGUCCCCAAUUACUAAGCUACCAACCGUUAGCACAAAAGGAAAAGUCAAGUUUUCAAGGCAAAUAAUACAAGGGAUGGAUAAAACCUGAGGCUAUUUUCAAUUUGGUCUUUUGGCAUUUUUUUUCUUUUUCCAAUUUAUAUUUUUGUUUCCCUGUUUGCCUUGGGCUCCCCUUUCCCUGAAGAUCAGAACAGGGGAUGAUGUCUUCAUUUGAGACUUGGUGGCCAAUAGCAAGUACACAAAAUCUGAAUGGAUUUCAUGUACACCUUUGGAGUGUGUGUUGAAAAAUUGGGUGAUUAUCAUGGGAGCAAAGAGUGCUCUUAGAAAACAUGUUUUGAAAUGCCUUUGUAUGAAAGUUUGGCCACUAUGAACUCGAGUCAAAGGCCUCCUGACUCCGAAAAUAACAUCCUUUUGCACUUGCCUCUGUUUUAUAAGUGUUAAGGGAGGAAGAAUGAUUGUCUUUUGCAAAAAUCAUUUCUCUCUCUGUGUUCUGUUUCCAAGUUGCUUCCAAGCUUUGCCCGUGUGUUGCAAACAGUCUGCAAACAGUCUCUGCCACUGUCCUGUUGUAACCAAGCCAAAAGAUAACACUGUUCUAGCUGCAAAAGUUUCUCUGAACAAAAGGCUGCUUUUGUUCUCUCUCUCUCUCUUUUUUUUAUUCUUCUCUUUUCAACUGCUUGAGUUGGAAAAGAGGAAAGAAAAUGGAAGUUGAAGGAAUGCACAUGUUGAAGUUUUAUGCAGAGAAUUGCAGGGGGAAAGGAAGGAAAAAGAAAAAGAAACUAGAAGAGACAUGAGAGGAUUUUGGUUGAAAGGUUGUUAAACAAAAAAGAAAAUUGAAUGAAAGGAACCAGUAAGUUGGAAAAUGUAAGUGUGAUGUGGAAAGGUAAUAUGGGUACAUAUUAUAUACAGAUUGAUAUAAUAUACAGAUUGUUUCUUAGGAUAACUGUGAUAAGGUUGUUCUGUUUAAACUACUUUCUUAACUGAGUUUAUGGCUGACAUAUUUAAAAUGCUAUAAAAUUCUUUGGGAUUCAUAUGAAGUUUUCUUUGUUUAGUCCUUUGUUCUGUGAAAUACACAAGACGAGCCUGUGUGUGUGUGUGUGUGUGUGUGUGUGUGUGUGCAUGUUUCUGAACAGGGAGCCCAAAGCUCUGGUUCUGAUUCAACCCUGCAUCAAUCUUAUAGCUCAUCUCUGUGAAGAUGAGGUUUCAGUUGUAUUUAUUCUGUUUAUUCUGUUGUAUUGUGAAUGUAUUUAUUCUAGUGACAUGUUGUUGUUUUUCUGUAAACUGUUCCAGACCAAACUUGCUCUGACAUUGAAUUCCAAAAUUAGCAGUUAUUAUUUCAUUCAUUCUUCUAUCAAGCUAAUUGUGAUGUGAUAUUUCUGCCACUACUGAGUAUCAUAAGCCUUUAUAUGUUAUGUUUACUGAUUUCCUUGACAAUGGUCUAUCUUAUCUUACCUAUUUCUGUGAACUCAAGAGGUUCUCUGAAAAGCAGUUUGCAGGUUCUCUGAAAAGCCAGUUAAUUGUGGGUGAGAAGGAAAAAUGGAUUUUAAGAUAAAUUAGUCUAAUUGUAUUAGUGUAAUGUUUUUGCAAAAUCUAUGCAAUAUUUCUGCUAGCUGAAAUUGAUGUAAACUGAGAGCUACCAAUGGUCUAAGGUUUAAAUUUUAAAAUUUGACUCAUCCACCAGCCCUACUUUGCCUUCACAGCAGCUGAAUCUAAAAAUUCCAGAUCCCAGAUAUGCAAUUUGAUGAAAGGAAUUUUGUUUUGCCACUCCUGCAAGUGGAAGGGAGUUCCAAAGUACCAAUUUGCAUUUUACCUAGAAGACUUCCCAGUUUGACAGGAUCAAGCUUUGUGUGUUACUGUGAAACCCAUACCCUGUUUUCACAGCUCCUGAUGAGAGACUUGACUUUAUUAUCACAAGUUUUACCCCUCUGCAAGAUUAUGGACAAUUUUUACCUUUUACUAAAGAGGCCUGUGAAAAAGGGACACUUUAAUUUGCUUCAUGAGACAUUAGGCCCCGUCCAGAAGUCCUAUGUCAUCAAGGUAUAGUAUUCUGCCUGGGGGCAUGGACUGUUUCCUUCUUAUACAGGUUCCCCCCCCCCAAGAGGAUAUUGUUACCCUACAAAGAUGUCAAACCCCAAACCCUUACUCAUCGGUUCUUCCCAGCUAAAAGGGGAUUAGUCUGGGGCAAUAGAUGGCUGACCUCCUACUCCCCCACACAUGACCAAAUAUCAUGUGACUUUGGUGAGGAAUCCUGGGGUUUCCAUGGCUACUACUUUUGUUCUUAAUCCAGCUAACUUACUUCCUUUUGAGUCUACAGAAGACCAAGAACAUGAUUGCUUGCAAGCUGUGGACUGCAUCUAUGCCAAGCCAUCCUGAUCUUAAAGAUGAAUUGUACACAGAUGGAGGCAGCUUCAUGUAAGAUGGACAACGUAAGCUGGCCAUGGAGAAGCGACUGACCAUGCUCUUUCUCCAGGUAUCUCAGCACAGCUUGCAGAGCUCAUCACCUUCAAGGUAAUUUUUACACAACUCAUGGAGCCACUUGGAAAGAAAGAAGAUUUUUAACAGUGGGAAACAAGGAAGUAAAAUAUGGGACACAGAUAUCAGAACUCUAGACUGCUGUUACACUACUAGAAGAGGUUGCAGUCAUCCAUACCAGAGGUCACCAGAGGAAAAUGACCCAGUGACAAAGGUAAACAGGUUUGCAACCAACAGUGCCUUGAAUUGUCUUUCCAAGAAUAAUUGGUCCUCCCUAGAUUGAAGGAAUACCUGGAUCCAUUGCCAGAACGUGAUCCCAAGGGAGUCUCCACACUGACCCAGGAAAACUAACCAUCAGCAGCAGCAGCAGCUACCCGAGAGCAGUCCCUAUCUGCAUUUCCAGUCCAACCCAAUGGUGACAGGACGUUCAUCUGCUACCCUGUCCUGUGUUCAAAGAAGAGGGCCUAAUGCACAGUUCAUCUUCCUGCUCCUAAGUGCUGUAGGAGAGGAAUAGACAACAAACAAGCAAGCCAAUUUGUUCACUUUUCUCUGGAGUCAUACAUGCAACAGCAUUUCCCCAAGCUGUGAAGCCCUGGAACCAUCCUACCUGGGUAAGAUACCUCGCCGAGGACACUAUUUCAAAUUCUGCCAAAGACACUAUUUCAGAUUUCCCACAAGGGGAGGGAGUCAAGGCUCCCAAACACAUGAACAUUUGAGCUUGUCUGUGGACACUAGCCAAACAAGCCAAAACAACACUGAUCAGGACAGCCAAAAUCCUGCAACAUUUUACAAGAGCAUUUGGUUCUCAACUGAAGGACUAAAAUAUAUUUUUCCUUACCAAGGACUUUUAGAUCAUGAAUUCUAAAGCUCUCCAUGGCUUCCUUUUUGGCCAUGACAGACUUUAGAGGACACUAAGGGGGGUGGGAGUUGAUGAUUUGCACCACUUUCUUAUAUUACUUUCUUGUAGUGACUAUGUGCUAUCAUUAUGUUGAAAACCUUGCUAUCUCCUGUGCUGUAAGGACAUGGACCUCACUUGUUUCACUUACAUAUUGUGCCAAUCAUCUCAUUGUUUCAACCAGAGCAUUUACCUGCAAGUCUGCACCUAUCCCCAAGUUACUGGUCCCUUUUGUGUUCUAAGACAUUAAGCUAGCCCAAGCUUUACCUGCUAAUUUUAUAGACACUUGCAUUUAAUCAAUGACAUGGCUUGUCAUUGCUAUCGCUUUCCACAAGGUGAUAACCCAUUAAUUGCCAGAAGCACCUGGUUCCACAUUGCUAGGCUGUUAUUUAUACUUUAUUUGGGAUAAAGAUGGUUUAAAAUAAUGUUGCCUGCUAUAAGUUGUAUGAUCUUUAUAUGUACGCUUUGCUGUUAUGUGUAAAACUUUAUAUAUAUAUAUCAAAUCAUGCCAGAUAUGGGUGGUUAAAGAUAUGUGUGUGUGAUGUAUAGAAUUAUAUAAUUAUGUUUGUAGCUCUAGAAUAUUGUAUGCAAUGUGCCUGCCAUAGCACAUACCAUUUCUUUAAAAACUAUGCUUAAUGCAUCACAAAUGUUUAAGGCAUCCCAAAACCACAUAUGUUCCAAACCCUUUAGCCACACGAAACACAAAGUUCCAUCAAUGGGCAAGAACUAUAUUCCAAGAUUAAGAGUUUGUGUGUUAGAAAGAGCUACUGUUAAUAUUUUCAAACAGUUAGAACUUUCAUUUAACUAAUAUGGAAAGCCUAUUGAUUUAUGGGCAAAGAAGAUAAUUCUGGUUGUAUUUUCUUUGUAUUAAUAAUCACAUGUUGCUGCUUACAAUGCAUUACAGCUUUAAACCAAAUGUUUAUGAGAACCUUUAAACCUUGCCAUAGUAUAAGACCCAUACAUACAGCUGUACCUUUACAAACUUUAAUUAAGACAUCCUGAAGAUUCAGGAUGAUCCAAUUGUUUCAGGGGGGAAUUGAUGUGUUUGAGUAAACCAAAGUAACUCCAUUCUACAUAGAAUACCAAAGCAUCUCCAAAUUUGCUUAGAAAACCUAAUUCUAACUUAAAGUAACCCCAGCCAAGCUCAGAGACAUCACAGCCAAUGUCAUUAUCUCCACUAAAAUGUAUCUAUGAAACUUGGUUCUCACAAGAUUCUCAUUGUUCUUUGCUGACAAGUUAAUAAAACAGGAUGUAACCAAAUAAGGAGUGAUCACCAGAUGAACAAUGAAUCAUUUGCAUGCGUACUAGAUACUUAGUCCACCAUUUUACUGCCACGUAUACUAUGUCAGCAUUAUUCAGAUUGUCUGUAUAAAUGUAAGAUGCACCUAUAACCAAUUUGUAUUCAAUGCAAUGCGUGAGCUACAUUGUCUACCUUGCUAUCGCGAAGCAAUAAACCAAGUCUCUAAUUGA